GUACACGCUGUGACUAGCAUAUCAAUAAGCGGAGGAAAAGAAACUAACAAGGAUUCCCCUAGUAACGGCGAGUGAAGCGGGAAGAGCUCAAAUUUGAAAUCUUAAAGGGUUUCCCUUUACGAAUUGUAGUUUAAAGAAGUGUUUUCUGUUGAGGUUUUGGUAAAAGUUCUUUGGAAUAGGACAUCAUAGAGGGUGAGAAUCCCGUAUUUGACCUUUACUUUCAACUUUGUGAUACACUUUCAAAGAGUCGGAUUGUUUGGGAAUGCAGUCCAAAAUGGGUGGUAAAUUUCAUCUAAAGCUAAAUAUUGGCGAGAGACCGAUAGCGAACAAGUACCGUGAGGGAAAGAUGAAGAGAACUUUGAAAAGAGAGUUAAACAGUACGUGAAAUUGUCAAAAGGGAAGCGUUUGACACCAGUGUUGUUUUUCUGAAAAUCAAUUAAAGAACUGUUUAUGCUAAGUUGUUUAGACUUUAUCAGCUAACUGUUUAGUUUUGAGCUUUUCUUUAAUGCACUUUUCAGUUAACAAGUCAACAUCAAUUUCUUUUGCUGUAAAAAAGCUUGAGGAAGGUGGCUUGAGAUUCGUCUUAAGUGUUUAUAGCCUCUUGCCUAUGCAGUCGGAGAGAUUGAGGUCUGCAGCGUAGAUCCUUCGGGGCUAAAUGCAUUUGUGCUAAGUUAUAGCAUUUUAUAGACAACUUGUUGACUAUGAUUUGUCUUGUAGCUUACUCGCUUAUGUUAUUUUACCUACGCUUAGGAUGUUGAAGAUGUAGCACAUCAU
rnacentral:rRNA from 1 species